GGCGAGAUGGCCGAGCGGUCUAAGGCGCCAGACUAAGGAUCAGGACGCUCUACGUCCCUUGUAAUCUGGUCCGAAAGGGCGUGGGUUCGAAUCCCACUCUCGUCA